rnacentral:pre_miRNA from 1 species
UUAGUACUCCCUCCGUCCUAAAUUUCUUGUCUUAGAUUUGUCUAUAUAUGAAUGUAUCUAGUCAUAUUUUAGUAUAUAGGUAUAUCCAUUUUUAGACAAACCUAAGACAAAAAUUUAGGACGGAGGGAGUAUAUA